GCUGCGAUGGCCGAAUGGUUAAGGCCUUAGAUUCGGAAUCCAGUGGUGUUUUCCCGCGUAGGAUCGAGCCCUGCUCGCAGCG